rnacentral:lncRNA from 1 species
UCAGUGCUAGGGGGAAGUGUUUUUCCUACUGAAAAUUCAUGCAUAAGAAGGCACAUUAAGGUUAACAUGGGGGAACUUCAAUGAAUACCAUGGAAAAAAAAAACAAUUCGCUAUCAUGAUCUAGCACAAAGAAUAUCCUUCUUGGCCUCUCCCCUUCUUGCCUCUGGUCUGUCCUAGUUACUUGACCAACUGGGACUAGAGUAUUGGAGAGACCAAUCAGGGAAUUUAUGAACACGGUCUUUCCACUUACACACAAGACUUCCAAAUUCCUUCAUUACUCCAUAUCAUAUCAGCUCCCAGGAGUUCACAGAAAAACUCCUUCUAUUGCUUUAUAUCAGCCUACUUUAACAUUAAUCUAUCAAAUCUUUCACUUGAAUAGUGAGCUAGUUCAGAGCUUCACAAUUUAGAGAUAAAAAGUGUUGUCAGCCUAGAAAAUCAUCCCAUCGCCACUUAAAAUGAGUAUCAAGAUGCUAUGGGUUAAUACAUUAACCAAGUGAAAACACUUCUCCAUUGAAUUUAUCAUGGACUUUAGACUGGGCAGGUAGAAGGAUGGGAGUCUCUGAACAAUUUAGAUGUCUUUGAAAGGCAUUGAAUUAACUGAAAUGGCAUUACACAGGAAGCAUGCUCAAAUUGGAUGAAGAAACUUGGUCACAGUCUAUAAAAUAGGGAGCUAGUUCAGAAUUAGCGGAUUCAAGUGUCUAGGAGUGAAGAGAGUCAUCCAUGAGAAAUAAUCAUUAGGGAGGUAGAAGAGAAGAGCCCCUACCUCAGCUUCCUCCUCCUUCUUCUUGAACAAAGGAGGUCCUUGUGCACUUUAGAGGCCUAAUGGAUUUGGACUUUUUCACCAAUUUUGGCAAUGUCCCUGGGAAAACUUACCGAAUAUUCUGUAUUUGGAUUUGGGGACAGGCUGGACUUAAUGAAGAAAUGAACCCAACCUCAGGGGAAUAUCUUGAAGACUCCAGUAGAAGGACUUCCAGAACUAUAAUGACACUCCAUCUCCUGGCAAUGUCUUUUCAUUGGCUGCCCCCUAUUCCUAGAAUGCUGGCUGCUUCAUCUGUAACCCUUGGUUACCAUGGUUUCCUUCAAGAUUCAGCAUCACCACAAAAAAAAAAAACUGGAAAGAUUUAUAUGAAGGGAUAUAAAGAGAAGUGAGAAGAACCAUGAGAAGAUUGUACAUAUUAACAGCAAAAAAAAAAGUGUGAUGAUCACCUGUGAAUGACAACUAUUAUCAGCAAUGCCAGAUCCAAGACAACUCCAAGGGAUUCAUGAAGAAAAAGACUAUCCACUGCACAAAAGGAACUGAUGGAGUCUGAAUACAGACUGAACCAUAUGAUUCUUCACUUUAUUUCCUUCUGAAUAUUUCUCUACUAUAAAUGAUACAUGUCUUCUUUCAUAAGACAACAAACUUGGAAAUAUAUAUUGCAUGCUAGCACGUGUACAAUCUAUAUCAUAUUACCUGUUUGGGAGCGAGGGUUGUAUGGGAGGGAGGGAAAGAACAUGGGUAAAAAAUCAGAAAAUGAAUAUUAAAACUAUAUCUAAGAAGCAGUUAGGUAGCUCAGUGAAUUGAGAGUCAGGCAUAGAAAUGGGAAGUCCUGAGUUCAAAUGUGAUCUCAGAUAUUUCCUAGCUGUGUGACCCUGAGCAAGUCACUUCACUCCCAUUUCCUAGCCCUCACCCUUCUUCUCUUUUAAAUCAAUACACAGUAUUGAUUCUAAGACAGAAGGUAAGGUAUUUUUUAAAACUAUUAACAUGUAAUCUGG